AGAGUUUGAUCAUGGCUCAGAACGAACGCUGGCGGCAGGCCUAACACAUGCAAGUCGAGCGCUACCUUCGGGUGGAGCGGCGGACGGGUUAGUAACGCGUGGGAAUAUACCCAGUUCUAAGGAAUAGCCACUGGAAACGGUGAGUAAUACCUUAUACGCCCUUCGGGGGAAAGAUUUAUCGGAAUUGGAUUAGCCCGCGUUAGAUUAGAUAGUUGGUGGGGUAAUGGCCUACCAAGUCUACGAUCUAUAGCUGGUUUGAGAGGGUGAUCAGCAACACUGGGACUGAGACACGGCCCAGACUCCUACGGGAGGCAGCAGUGGGGAAUCUUAGACAAUGGGCGCAAGCCUGAUCUAGCCAUGCCGCGUGAGUGAUGAAGGCCCUAGGGUCGUAAAGCUCUUUCAACUGUGAAGAUAAUGACGGUAGCAGUAGAAGAAACCCCGGCUAACUCCGUGCCAGCAGCCGCGGUAAUACGGAGGGGGUUAGCGUUGUUCGGAAUUACUGGGCGUAAAGCGUACGUAGGCGGAUUAAUAAGUUAGAGGUGAAAUCCCAGGGCUCAACCCUGGAACUGCCUUUAAAACUGUUAGUCUUGAGAUCGAGAGAGGUGAGUGGAAUUCCAAGUGUAGAGGUGAAAUUCGUAGAUAUUUGGAGGAACACCAGUGGCGAAGGCGGCUCACUGGCUCGAUACUGACGCUGAGGUACGAAAGUGUGGGGAGCAAACAGGAUUAGAUACCCUGGUAGUCCACACCGUAAACGAUGAAUGCCAGACGUCAGCAAGCAUGCUUGUUGGUGUCACACCUAACGGAUUAAGCAUUCCGCCUGGGGAGUACGGUCGCAAGAUUAAAACUCAAAGGAAUUGACGGGGGCCCGCACAAGCGGUGGAGCAUGUGGUUUAAUUCGACGCAACGCGCAGAACCUUACCAACCCUUGACAUACUUGUCGCGGAUUCCAGAGAUGGAUUCCUUCAGCUCGGCUGGACAAUGUACAGGUGCUGCAUGGCUGACGUCAGCUCGUGUCGUGAGAUGUUCGGUUAAGUCCGGCAACGAGCGCAACCCACGUCCUUAGUUACCAGCAUUUAGUUGGGUACCCUAAGGAGACUGCCGGUGAUAAGCCGGAGGAAGGUGUGGACGACGUCAAGUCAUCAUGGCCCUUACGGGUUGGGCUACACACGUGCUACAAUGGCAUCUACAGUGAGUUAAUCUCCAAAAGAUGUCUCAGUUCGGAUUGGGGUCUGCAACUCGACCCCAUGAAGUCGGAAUCGCUAGUAAUCGCGGAACAGCAUGCCGCGGUGAAUACGUUCCCGGGCCUUGUACACACCGCCCGUCACACCAUGGGAAUUGGGUCUACCCGAAGGUGGUGCGCCAACUAUUUAUAGGGGCAGCCAACCACGGUAGGUUCAGUGACUGGGGUGAAGUCGUAACAAGGUAACC
rnacentral:rRNA from 1 species